AUACGGAGGGUGCAAGCGUUACUCGGAAUCACUGGGCGUAAAGCGCGCGCAGGCGGCCAUUUAAGUUGGAUGUGAAAGCCUACGGCUCAACCGUAGAACUGCAUCCAAAACUAUUUGGCUAGAGUGUGGGAGAGGAAGAUGGAAUUAGUUGUGUAGGGGUAAAAUCCGUAGAGAUAACUAGGAAUACCAAAAGCGAAGGCAAUCUUCUGGAACACUACUGACGCUGAGGCGCGAAAGCGUGGGGAGCAAACGGGAUUAGAAACCCUAGAGUCC
rnacentral:rRNA from 1 species